CCUCAGCGGGUUAUUCAGGUUGAGGCCUCGGCCGGAGCACAGGCCCAGGUGUUAUGGUACAUGUUCUCCUGUAGGUGGCGGUAGUAACCCGGACAGAAAGAAUCCCAGCAUCUUGAUGUUUUAAAUGGCUUCAACGAGACUUUUGGAGACGUCCACAUGUUGGGGUAAGCUACAUGGCUAAAUUACCGACAGACAUAUAGAGACGAGGUUGGAAGGGUUUUUGUUUUGUAUCAGCGAGCUGAUUCUUAACGAAGUAUUUGACCUGAUGAAGCAGUUUUAGGAGGUUUCUUAGUUCCGCCUCCCUUUUUUUGUUUCUACGCAACAAUUACUCUAACUAGAUGCCCCCACCUCGCCUCCUUCGACAUUUCAAACGAUCUAGUUCAUAAGCUCCAUUUUGUGUGGCAACACAGAGCUGAGCUCCUCCGGUCUGCUGUCCGCCGCAGGAGGGCUUCUGGGCUUAGAACUCCGAAAGUUCGCAGUAAAUCCCUGGUGAAAUGUGAAUUUUUAUGAUGGCUGAAAACUCAGAACACAUCCUGUUUCCAUGAUGUCAGCGCAGGAAGUAAGAGCCACCUGCUAGCUGGAAACGGGGAAGUGAACUGGAAUGACGUCUCUGCUCUGUGACGUCGGAUCGUUAGUCCAGCAGCAGCCAUACUUACUUAAGACGUUCAUCAUUCAAAGGUUGAGCCUGGCUCGCCAUCUUCCUCUGCGUCUCCCUGAUGGAAAGCCUCUGGUGGAGGCAAACCUGGUGGUUUAGGAUUUUUAAAGGCUGCUGCCAACAUUUUUUGUAAAUUGUAAAUUAAUUUUAGUAGUCAUACCUCUGCUACGGCUAAACCAACCAAAACACCAGUCAUCCAGCGGGGUGACACAGCUGUGCUCUCGUCGGUUGCUGGUGAUUGGCUCUUUAAGAAGUGUGGAACAUGUCGGGAACAGGAGUGGGACAAACUGUGUUCAAAACCUAAACAAUAUUUAAUAUUGUCAUGCAACACUUCAAAGGCACAGGCUGACCAGAGGGAUGAGAACAACCUAAUCUGGAAUGUGGUGAUCUCACAUUCCAAGAGUGAAUCACAGAGAACAGAGGGUACAUCAGCAUUAACAGGCUGUUUGUCUCCCACCCACUUCACCCCAUCACUCCCCAACCUUUGACCUCUGCGUCUCCGCCCCUCCCCCCAAGCACACAGAAAACGCUGCUCACGUGCUCUUCUAAAGAGGGGAAGAAAAAUGGGGAAAACAUCAGCUAAUUAUCAUUGAAUAUGUUAUAUGUAGCAAUGAAGUAACUUUAUUCUUAACAAAUAAAAGCAACAUUUUAUCUUUG